GCCCAAGGACAUCAUCAGAGGACAUUGGUAGCUUUGCAGUAACCUGCCUUGGUUGCUUACAUGUUCCCUGACCUACAUGUUUGCAAAUCCACAUAAUGUUUCUUGGUCAUGCAGGUUCCUAUAAAUGAUGUCUGUUCGCAGAAGGAGUGGAAGCUGGUGGAGAAUCUGCUGAUUAGGCCCAAGAUGUGGUGAAUGAAAAGCUGAAUCUUUUCAUAUUGGAUUUUCUGAAGAGGCUAGCCUCAGCAGAGAUUUUCCCAGAUUCCUCAACUUUGCCGAGGCUUAAGGACUAACUCUCCCUGCCUGGGUUGAGCCAGGGGCUGGGAGAAAUUACUUAGAGCUUGGGCUAGAUAUCUUACCCUAUCCUCUCUCUGAAUUUCUAACUUCAC
rnacentral:lncRNA from 1 species